AUUGAACGCUGGCGGCAUGCUUUACACAUGCAAGUCGAACGGUAACAGGCCUUCGGGUGCUGACGAGUGGCGAACGGGUGAGUAAUGCAUCGGAACGUACCCAGAGGUUGGGGAUAACGCAGCGAAAGCUGUGCUAAUACCGCAUGUGAUCUGAGGAUGAAAGCGGGGGACCGAGCAGCAAUGUUUGGCCUCGCGCCUUUGGAGCGGCCGAUGUCGGAUUAGCUAGUUGGUGGGGUAAAGGCCUACCAAGGCGACGAUCCGUAGCUGGUCUGAGAGGACGACUAGCCAGCUGGGGAGUGAGACACGGCACAGACUCCUACGGGAGGACGCAGUGGGGAAUUUUGGACAAGGGGGGCAAGCCUGAUCCAGCAAUGCCGCGUGCGGGAAGAAGGCCUUCGGGUUGGAAACCGCUUUUGGCAGGAACGAAACGGUGUCCGCUAAUACCGGGCGCUAAUGACGGUACCUGCAGAAUAAGCACCGGCUAACUACGUG
rnacentral:rRNA from 1 species